CGAGGGAAAAUGAGUAAAAUCUUUGGACUGUAAAGCAAAUCUGAGUGUUCCCUGGAUGCAGUGUACAAUUGCUUAGUAUUCUUUUGAUGAGUAACAAGACUUCAUUGCUUUCUCAAGUUAUCACAUAAGCACAAACUGCAAUACAUGAAAAUCCAGCACCAUGCUUCACUAGGAAUAUCACCCUCAUGCAGUCACAUCAUAUACUUUCAAUUGAUUUUGUAGAUUACUAGGGGCAGAGAAGGACAGAAACAGUUAGAAAACAGGAAGAACAUAGACACACAGUGUGCGAAAAUUGCCUCUUGGGCACAGAUGCAAACACAGGAACCGUAAUGAACUUUUUUUUCUUUUUUUCUUUUUUCUUUUUUUUCACAGAACCUCUUUUUUAUGGCUUCUGUAAUGUGCUAUAAAUCUUUGAAAGUGAAGUCAUUCCUAGGAGCACUGGAAAUAUCCAUGCUUUUUAAUAUUUCUGAUUUGCUUGUAUUUCUCAUACAAUUUUAUUGCCUUAAUUAGAUGGGUUCUUUUGUUAAGAGUUAUUUUAUGUACUGCUUGUAUGUUAUACUUCACGGUUUUUAUUUUCUGAUAAAACCUGAAUUUGUUUAAAAUUGCUUAGCUAACCCUAAAAUGAAUUGAUUGUGGCCUGCUCUGAGAAAGGCUGAUUUCUUCUGGAAGAAAGGGGAGGGCAGGGGCAUUAACAAGGAAGGAGGGAGAAAGGGAGGGAGAAAGAGAGGGAGGAAGGGAGGGAGAAAGGGGGAGGAGGGGCGAGGAUAGAAGUGGGGGGAGAGAGGAGGGAGGAAGAGAGGGGGGAAGGGAGUGACGAAGAGGGGGGGGCCAGGAGGGAGGAGGGAAGCGGGGGGGAGGGAGGAGGGAGGUAUCAGGGCGGGGAGAGAGCGGGAGAGAAUGUGAUCAACAAGAAAUUCCUGUGAUCAACAAGAAAUAUUGCAGGAGCAGUCUGUAACUACUAUAAAGAAACUUUAUGGUGACAAAAUGAGGAGUUUGAAAUCCCAGCUGGAAGCUUACCGUGAACUGAUGAACAAGAACAGUACACAUUGGCAAAAUACUGUUAAGAGCCUGAGGGAAAGAAACAGACAACUGAGCCAAGACAAAGAAGAUCUUAUUCACCAAAUGAAGCAACAAACAGAAAAAUGGGAAGAACAAAAGGUCUCCAUUCUAGAAAAUCUGUCAAAAAAAAUAAACCGUCUUUAUACCCAGCACACAUUGACUUUGCAGGGACUUCACACCAUCAGUCUAUAUGUGGAGAGAGUGCGUGACCUCAUGAAUUUCCAGAUAAAAAUUCUUCAACAAAAGUCUGAAAAGACAGAAGAAGAAAAAGCCGAUGUGCCAGUGAUUUUAAAAUUAAAGGCAGAACAAGCAGCUGAUGAAGAGAAGCCUGAAUGUUUAAUGGAAACAGAACCUCUUUGGCAAGCACACACCAUGUUGCAAAAGAUACAGGAAUCUAUACAGAAACAAGAGAGAGAAGUCAGUGAGACCCUAGAAGGUGAAAGAAGAUACUACAAAGCAAUGAAACCUCAAAUCAAGAUGCUAAUAUUCUUGAAAAAUCUUGCCAAGAAGAAGAUCAUAAAAAUAUAUGUUCUGAGGAGAAAAGUCACCAUGCAGAGGAACUUAUGCGGAAGUUUGAAAUGGAAAUCAAGAGCUGUUGGUCUACUUUUCUUGCAUAAUCAACCACUGGAAUGGAAUGCAAGAGAAGAGGAACCAGGAUGUAGAUUUCACUAAAAUUUAGAUGCAUUAUGGCAGUGAUUCUCAAGAGAAAACCAGCUUAUGUGGGUGGUAAAGAAAAGGGUAAUUGUGAUUGUUCGGUGAUGAACACACCACUCUUCAGGAUGCAUGACAAUUUACCAUCAGUCCAAGCAUCGGACAGAACUGGACCAGUGCCACUCCACCACAGAGAGAGGAAAAAGAAAAAAAAUAAACUAAAUAUUUGCAAAAACUAUAUAUGAAUU
rnacentral:lncRNA from 1 species